rnacentral:rRNA from 1 species
GUGACUGCGUACCUUUUGUAUAAUGGGUCAGCGACUUAUAUUCUGUAGCAAGGUUAACCGUAUAGGGGAGCCGUAGGGAAACCGAGUCUUAACCGGGCGUUAAGUUGCAGGGUAUAGACCCGAAACCCGGUGAUCUAGCCAUGGGCAGGUUGAAGGUUGGGUAACACUAACUGGAGGACCGAACCGACUAAUGUUGAAAAAUUAGCGGAUGACCUGUGGCUGGGGGUGAAAGGCCAAUCAAACCGGGAGAUAGCUGGUUCUCCCCGAAAGCUAUUUAGGUAGCGCCUCGUGAAUUCAUCUCCGGGGGUAGAGCACUGUUUCGGCUAGGGGGCCAUCCCGGCUUACCAACCCGAUGCAAACUGCGAAUACCGGAGAAUGUUAUCACGGGAGACACACGGCGGGUGCUAACGUCCGUCGUGAAGAGGGAAACAACCCAGACCGCCAGCUAAGGUCCCAAAGUCAUGGUUAAGUGGGAAACGAUGUGGGAAGGCCCAGACAGCCAGGAUGUUGGCUUAGAAGCAGCCAUCAUUUAAAGAAAGCGUAAUAGCUCACUGGUCGAGUCGGCCUGCGCGGAAGAUGUAACGGGGCUAAACCAUGCACCGAAGCUGCGGCAGCGACACUGUGUGUUGUUGGGUAGGGGAGCGUUCUGUAAGCCUGUGAAGGUGGCCUGUGAGGGUUGCUGGAGGUAUCAGAAGUGCGAAUGCUGACAUAAGUAACGAUAAAGCGGGUGAAAAGCCCGCUCGCCGGAAGACCAAGGGUUCCUGUCCAACGUUAAUCGGGGCAGGGUGAGUCGACCCCUAAGGCGAGGCCGAAAGGCGUAGUCGAUGGGAAACGGGUUAAUAUUCCCGUACUUGGUGUUACUGCGAAGGGGGGACGGAGAAGGCUAUGUUGGCCGGGCGACGGUUGUCCCGGUUUAAGCGUGUAGG